rnacentral:misc_RNA from 1 species
AACCAUAGAAACCUGCGGAGUACCUGCGGAAGGAUCAUUACAGAGUUGCAAAACUCCCUAAACCAUUGUGAACGUUACCUAAACCGUUGCUUCGGCGGGCGGCCCGGGUCCUUCCCGGCGCCCCUCGGCCCUCGCGGGCGCCCGCCGGAGGUAAACCAAACUAUUGCAUUGUAUGGCCUCUCUGAGUCUUCUGUACUGAAUAAGUCAAAACUUUUAGCAACGGAUCUCAGAUCGGAAGAG